ensembl:lncRNA
ACCUGGUUCCUUAGAGAAUGGCAUUAGAAAGAUCGGUGACAGGAUCUGAGCAGUAGGUCUCCCUCCUUAGACCUUCUAAAAGCUCAGCUCUUUAGGUUUCUCUUUGCUGCACAUAAAUCUCUUCUCAUUAGUCAUUUCCAAGGUAACUUCGCCAUCCUUUCCCAGUGGCUUGUCAUUAAACUGAAGUUGCUUCUCAACCUAAAUGUUUUCUGAAGUCCCCAUAGAUAGAAUAGUCUUGAUCUACAGCUAUUGAUGAGGUAGAGCAUUGUGCCUCACUCUUGAGGAGGGGCAUCAGUUAUCACAGCGCACGCUGUCCCUCCUUCUCUGUGUCUCAUGUCUCUUCAGAGACCAUAACUCUACCUACUGAAAAGGUGAAUGAGGCUCCAAGUGAACAGGAAGAGGUGUCUGGGUGUAAGGAUCACCCAUGCAAAACAGGCCACUUAGGGGCCAGGUGUGGUGGCUCACUCUUGUAAUCGCAGCACUUUGGGAGGAUGAGGUGGGAGGAUCACUUGAGGUAAGGAGUUUCAGACCAGCCAGGCCGACAUGAUAAAACUCUGUUUCUACUAAAAAUACAAAAAUGAGCUGGGUGUGUUGGUGAGUGCCCGUAAUCCCAGCUACUCAGGAGGCUGAGGUAGGAGAAUGUCUUGAACCUGGAAGGCAGAGGUUGCAGUGAACCGAGAUUACGCUGCUGCAUUCAGCCUGGGCCACAGAGUGAGACUCCAUCUCAAAACAAAAACAAACAGGCCACUUAGGAAGAGAAAAAGAAAAUCUCAUUUGGAAGCCUUGAAAAUUAGGCCAGAGCCUGACCCACAUGGGCUGAGUGAGGAGGAGCCAUGCUUCAAUAAAACGUGGCCCAGGACAGCACCUCGGGGGAUCCAUCGGCUGUCGCUCAGUCCAUUCCAGAAAAGAAGUUCCAGACAUGCUGGAGCAAUGGCAGCCUUGUCGGAAUAGGAGCAAGGAAAAAGAAAUUGAGCCAGCCCACCUACGUUCGGAUGGGCAGAACCAGCUUCAACCUUGUGCAAGUCACCCAAACCCCUGGAGCCUUCACUUCUUCAUUUGAAAAAAGGAUGAAAAGAAUACCUUUCUGGCUGCAUUGGUUUGAAGAUCAAAUAAAAUAAUAAAUGUGAAAGUGUAUUUUGAAAUGUC